CAACUCUGGUUUCUCUUCAAUUCACGUAUAAAUCUUUCGCCUUUUACUAAAGAUUUCCGUGGAGAGGAACAAGUGAUGAGUAUAUACUAAUUUUUUGUGUACCCAACGCAAGUUGGGUC
rnacentral:snRNA from 2 species